UUGCACGCUGGCGGCAUGCUUUACACAUGCAAGUCGCACGGCAGCGCGGGCUUCGGCCUGGCGGCGAGUGGCGAACGGGUGAGUAAUGCAUCGGAACGUGCCCAGUAGUGGGGGAUAGCCCGGCGAAAGCCGGAUUAAUACCGCAUACGACCUGAGGGUGAAAGCGGGGGACCGAAAGGCCUCGCGCUAUUGGAGCGGCCGAUGUCGGAUUAGCUAGUUGGUGGGGUAAAGGCUUACCAAGGCGACGAUCCGUAGCUGGUCUGAGAGGACGACCAGCCACACUGGGACUGAGACACGGCCCAGACUCCUACGGGAGGCAGCAGUGGGGAAUUUUGGACAAUGGGGGCAACCCUGAUCCAGCCAUGCCGCGUGCGGGAAGAAGGCCUUCGGGUUGUAAACCGCUUUUGUUCGGGAAGAAAUCCUCUGGGCUAAUACCCCGGGGGGAUGACGGUACCGGAAGAAUAAGCACCGGCUAACUACGUG
rnacentral:rRNA from 1 species